UCGUGUCGUGAGAUGUGGUUAAGUCCGCAACGAGCGCAACCCUCGACCUUAGUUGCCAGCAUUCAGUUGGGCACUCUAAGGUGACUGCCGGCUAAAAGUCGGAGGAAGGUGGGGAUGACGUCAAAUCAUCAUGCCCCUUAUGACCUGGGCUACACACGUGCUACAAUGGGCGGUACAAAGGGUCGCGAACCCGCGAGGGGGAGCCAAUCCCAAAAAAGCCGCUCUCAGUUCGGAUUGCAGGCUGCAACUCGCCUGCAUGAAGCCGGAAUCGCUAGUAAUCGCGGAUCAGCAUGCCGCGGUGAAUACGUUCCCGGGCCUU
rnacentral:rRNA from 1 species